CACCUCUUCUAUGAAAUCAAUAUACGUAGUCCCCCUUCUAGUCGCUAGGUGGCACCACAGCUUUAAAGCAGAGCCAAAAAACUGUGGAAUAACUUACCAUGGACGGUAUAUUCGCCAUCUAUGGUCUUAACCUCAUUCCUCUUUUUGUGCUUUGGUGGCACAUGUUCAUUUUUAUUCGGCGUCGGUGUUUUCAGCUUUUUUCAGCGUUUUUGGAAGUUAAAUGGAGAAGUACAAGUGAGAUUUACGUUAUUCCUUAUCGGAUGAAGAAAGAACCUACCUACGACGAAAGAUUAAAUCUUUCCAUCCGCGAUUACAUAAUCGCUAGUGGCGUGGUUCCCAUCAACGAGAUUUUCUUACAAUUGGGAGACGAUUUCUUCAUCGUCCGGGUUCCGAUCGGAAUCCCCAGAACUCGAAAGACCCCCCAUAUUUCCCACUUAUACGACAGCAGUCGUAUGUAAGUGUUUCACAAUUGGAAGCAAUCCUUUUGUGAGGGGGUCGGCCAUACAUAUGGUUUUAUAUUUUUUCGACAUCGAAAAAAUAGAGUUUUCUGGCUCGUCCGGCUAUGGAUGAGGCGCCCGGGAUACUGGGACAUAAUGAACAAUUUUUUAUGGCUGUUGGAAUGCAUUUACUCCAUCGUAAGUAUAUUUUUUAGGCCCUUCAAUUAAUUCUGAUGUCAUUGUUGAGCCCCUUGAGACGGAUUUAAAGCAAAAUGGCCUUUAAGCUAUGGGGUCGAUAGUCCCAACACAAAGUUUGAUGUGUCAUGACAUUUUGGCAAGUCAGAUUAAUACCUUUUUGAAAUCCGGUGUGUCCGAAGAUUGUCUCAGUGACCUUUUGCGUUGAUAUCCUGUGCCGAAGAAUUGCCGCUCAAUAACUCUCCUAAAUUGAAUGUGCAGAUGAAAUCUGCCAUCAACAAAGGUGGAAAGAAAAGGGAUGAGAGACUGACUGCAACAAGGGGUGCUUUGAUGGUGGUUGGUAGGACGCUCUUGACCUUGCUUUUGAAACCGGUUAAGGAUGAGUAGUACUUACUUCUCAUCGAAAUGUUGAGUAAUGCAAUAUUUGUUUUAAGCAAAAUACACCAUUUAGGUUCAGUAUAUAGAAGUUCAGCCGCGUUAAGCCUUUCGCUGCAUGUAUGAAGGAAGUGCUCGUUGAUGCUUCUUUGCACUCUUGUUUAUAUGGAGAAGAUUUGGCUGAUAGGCUCAAAUCAAUCAGAUUAGCUGCAGAUUAGUGGCCGAGUUAAAGUCAGGUGCAUCCGGAACAAGGCUUUUAUAGCAUACAAAUUUAAACUCGACCGUCCCACUUCGUUCCCGGAAGUUGCAAGGCUGAAGUGGGUGAAAGUCAUUGUACCCUCAAAAGAGGGAAUACAGGAAGGUUCGAGAGGAAAGGGGGUGGAGUUGUGUCCCCAGGAAAAAAUAAACUCAAGAUGCACAGAUUCUACCUUGGUUAGAUGGAUAUAAAAUUCCAUUUGCGAGGCCAGUUAUACAGGACUUGAUUACGACAGAUCCUGUUUGGUCCCAACAAGAAAAAGAUUCAAUUUGUAAUGUGGUCAAACACCUGUUAGAGAUAAGUGCAAUUGCAGUUUGCGAACCUUAUCCGGAGGCAUCUAAUGAAGACUCGUUUACUGUUUUUUGGAGCGACAGUUUCUUCUAUGUUUUCCCCCCGUUUUGCUUGUUGCCACUUGUUUUACGAAAAAUCAAGGCUGAUUGAGCUACAGGGAUCGCAGUAAUCCCUUACGGGCACAGCCAGCAUUGACAAAUUACCUUCUUCUUUUGACAGGAGAGGUCACCCUUUGUGGAAAUCCCUUACCCUGGCUGCAGGGAUUUUGUCAGGCAAGCAUUCCAGAAGAUUUGCUGGAUAUUUUUCUAUCAUCUGUUCAGAGCGCUACCUUGAGGCAUUUAAUACCUGCAUGCAUUUAAACUUUGGUGGAGCUUCUACGAAAGGAGGGGAGUGGAGUGUUAUUACUUCUCACCUAGGCUGUAUUGGAUUUCCUUACUAUUCAUUUUAGA